UCGAGGGGCAGCGAGGGAGUGGCAACACUUCUGUCGGCGACCGGCGCACGGGUGAGUAACACGUAUCCAACCUGCCGAUAACUCGGGGAUAGCCUUUCGAAAGAAAGAUUAAUAUCCGAUAGCAUAUUGAGAUCGCAUGAUUUUGAUAUUAAAGAAUUUCGGUUAUCGAUGGGGAUGCGUUCCAUUAGUUUGUUGGCGGGGUAACGGCCCACCAAGCCUUCGAUGGAUAGGGGUUCUGAGAGGAAGGUCCCCACAUUGGAACUGAGACACGGUCCAAACUCC
rnacentral:rRNA from 1 species